rnacentral:rRNA from 1 species
AGACGUCUACAUUAGAUACCCGUGUAGUCCCAGCCGUAAACUAUGCGCGUUAGGUGUAUCGGUGACCACGAGUCACCGAGGUGCCGAAAGGGAAACCGUGAAACGUGCCGCCUGGGAAGUACGGUCGCAAGGCUAGAAACUUAAAGGAAUUGGCGGGGAGCACCACAACGGGUGGAGCCUGCGGUUUAAUUGGACUCAACGCCGGGAAGCUCACCGGAUAAGACAGCGGAAUGAUUGCCGGGCUGAAGACUCUGCAUGACUAGCUG